rnacentral:rRNA from 1 species
UACGAAGGGGGGCGAGCGUUGUUCGGAUUUACUGGGCGUAAAGGGCGCGUAGGCGGCGGACCAAGUCGAGUGUGAAAGCCCCGGGCUCAACCUGGGAGGUGCGCUCGAGACUGGUUUGCUAGAGUUCGGGAGAGGAGCGUGGAAUUCCCAGUGUAGAGGUGAAAUUCGUAGAUAGUUGGGAAGAACACCGGUGGCGAAGGCGGCGCUCUGGACCGAGACUGACGCUGAGGCGCGAAGGCGUGGGGAGCAAACAGG